GCUGGGGUAGCUCAGUCGGUGCAGCGCGAGUCUCUUAACUUCGGGGUCACGGGUUCGAAUCCCGUGUCGGACA